ensembl:lncRNA
CGCCCCCUUCCAUCCUUAAAUGGGCCGUGGCGUCGGCCUCGGCGUCGCGAGUGGAUCCCGGGCCGGCGCAACGCCCGCGCAGUAGGCGGAGCAGACGCCGUGGUGUCAGAUGGAGUCCCAAGUAUGAGGAAACUGAGGCUCACGACCUGUCCAAGGUCACCAAGAUGGUAUGUGAUGGGGCCUCUCACCUCUGCUCUUCCCGUCAUUGCUUCCUCGGCACAAGGAGAUGGAGCCUCACUCUGGGAAGGGUUGGGGAGCCAGGAGCUGCCAGGGGCCCCAGUUCAGUCUCAAAUCUGCCCAGGAGGCUGAGAAUGACUAACUUCAGAGCUGGACACAUUCGCUGCAGAAACCAAGGGGCACAAAGGGUGGCUCCACGCUGGCAGGCCACCCACGUGGAGGAUGGUGCACCUCCUUCAUGACACUCAGGGAGCUCCAUACUCAGCCCAGGGUGUGGGGUGAGUCAGGAUGUGGAGGGGACAGGCCCACAGAGCCCGCCGGCUUGCCCUGACCCCCACCCCACAGGAGGGCUGCAGCCUGUGGAAAACCAACCCCCUCACUUUGGGGGUCCUCGGCUCCUUAUCCUCCUACUCCCAUGAUCUCUCUUUGGGGGAAAUGGGCUACCACCCUUGAGUUGGGCCUCUGGUAACUGGAACAGAUCAUGUACCUCACUGCCCCAAGAGCCACAAAUUGACCUCGAAGUGCAUCCAAAGCUCCACUGGGAUGAAUGUGUUGGUGCUGCUGUCUGGGACAGUCCUGCACACGUACCCCCGGUACUGAGUGUCCCCCCAUUUUCAGUGUCCUUGGGGUGCAGGGCAGUGUGAUGCCCUCCUCAGACCGCACAGCUGAGGGCCAUGACAGGAGGGCUGGAGCAGAAGUCCUUUUGACCAGGCUGAUACUGGGUACAAGAUGGGAAAGGAGAUGGAACAAAACAGAAAGGAAGCCACAAGGGCCUGCAACCAUCCCCGUGGCCUGCAGGAGGGUCGGAAGCUUUCCAGGUAUGGGAGCUGCAGGCAGGAGCCAGGGGGCUUUGGAGGAAGCCAACCACAAAGGCAGGCCUAGACCUGAGUCCAGGGGGAUCAAGACAGGCUCCUGGCAUCGCUCCUGAGGCUGGCCCGCCCCCUUCGUCACUCUGAUAGGAACCUUGGGGCCUCACCACUUCCUGUUCCUUCCCACCAGGAGCCUGGAGGACAAGGGGGAAGAUGGAGGGCCCUGGCCUCCUGAUGCCCACUGCCUUUGAUCAGCCCGUGGUCCCUUCUCUACCCCAGGGCACUCCUCCUCGAGGGGUGGGGUCGCCAGACUUCACCAGCCUCCGGGGCCAAGAUGACUCUGAGUAGAGCUCACCCCACUCUCCGAGGAAGCUCUUGGCUCCAAGAAAUGCAGACCAUGCCUGGGUUUGCUGCCCUUCCCAGGCCGUUGCCGCCCUGCUUCCAAGGCCUGGUGGCCCCCGGGGCUGCCGCUCCUAGUGGAAUGUCCUGGUCAAGAGGCCCUGCUGGCUGCUCCAAUGACUUAAGAACCAUAUAUGAGUCCUGGCUCUAACCUUAAGCAAGUCAUUCCACCUCUCUAGGCCUCAGUUUUUCCAGCUGUAAAAUAAGGAUGAUAGUAUCUAUUUAACUCCUGGAUUGUUAUCAUGACUCAAUAAAGAUAAUAGGAAAAUACGUAACCCGUCAACUCUGUACAGUCAGAUGAGAAUGACUGGCCCUUGUCAAGGGGAGGGAGUGCAGGUGGUACCUGAUGCAUCUGGUUCCCUGCUCCCAUUUUUGUGCCUCUAAUCCCCACGCACAGUUGGUCCUAGACUGUUUUCCACCCUGCACUCUGGUUUCUCAAGGCCUUCUUCUUCCCACCAAGUGCCCACACCCUGCCAGUGGGUGGGAGGGAGGCAGCAACUCCCACUCUGGCUGGGCCUGAGCGCAGCUGGAGAUAGCACAGGCUGUGCCUGUACAACCCCAAUGUUUUCCCAGAUGGAAGGGCUCUCCUUGCUAAUCAGCAUUUCCCCAAACCACACUCCUCUUCAUCAUUAGGUCUCAGACUUUGCGGGGAGGGGCACCAGAGUCACCAGGGGAACGCUUAGCAAAAUGUAGACAUUUAUUUCCCUCUGGGUCCAAGGCAAGACCCAAAGUCUACAUUUUUAACAAGCAGCCCAGGAGCUCCUGCUGCAGGUGCUCCCCGGGCCACACGGGGAGGAUGGCUCUGAUGGUUAAAACCAUCCUGCAGAGCAUGCCACACUUCCUCCUGGAGAGCCACAAAGCCCGCAAGCAUGCCGAAAGCACUUGCUGUAAAGAAACCUGCUUGACUUUAACUCAGCAUUUCCCAAACUUGACUAUAAAACUUUUUUCAUAAGUUAGAAUAACCGUUAACAUCUCACAGGACUAGUGUUCUGAGGAAUGGCUUAGGAACUGAUCUAGUUCUCUCUCCUUUUAAAGUUUGUCUUAAGUGUUUUUUGUUUUUAAUGUUUGAGUGGACCGAAGCCUGGGAUGGUGAGAUGUGUGCAAGGUGCUCAACUGCUACUGCAGAGCUUGAAUUUGAGCCUGGGUCUGCCCCUCCCUGUUCUCCGUGCGUCCCCCCACCACAUUCUGCCUCGGUCUCUUUGAGGCCGAGACUCUCCUGAGGUCAGCCAGUGUCCCCGCUCAGGAGCAACCCUCAGGGUUGUUGCCCUGUGACGGGAAAUCUGAGUAGGGGAUGACAGGGGUCAAGACUAGCCUGUUUGCUGGGAUAAGUAGCAGAGGAGGGGGUGGCCCACGCUUUUAGCAUGUCUGCACAAGCCCAGUCUGUUUGGAGGUGAGCUGGGGGAGGUCUUUUCCUGGCCCACUGCCCCUCCCAGGAGGGCAAUCACUCAGAGAGACAGUGAGCGGCUGGGUACAAUGGGGGAUGGACAGCGGCAGGAAGUCUUGUCUUGCCUUUUCUUCUCAAGCUCAAAACAGGCACCUGUAGCCAUUAACUGAUAUGCUAGCAGGGGAUCCCUUACCAGGAGGAAAAAGGAUUUAUUGCUUUAUAAAAAGGAGUCUGAUAAAACUUAAAAGGAAAAAAACAAAACUAUAAACCUAAAAAUCAACCCACCCCUCUCAGCGCUCCCAGGAAGUCUCAAACACAUUUCUGGGGACAGUGAAGGUGGGUAGGUUGGUAAGCCAGGCCGGCCUGGCAGAGAAAGGGUGGCCUCUCCCACUUAAACAGCUCAAGGGCUGCAGAGGAGUCUGCCAGCAGGGGGCACUGUGACUCCACAGCCUCAGACAAGCUCCAGGCUGAGCGGGUCUGGCGCCGGGCGCUGGGCCUGCUGCAGGCCUGGCUGGCUCCUGAGCAGCUCCAGGAGCACAAGGUCAGACACCUACCACCACCCCACACACACCUCACACGUAUCACAUGUACACACACCCCUAAGCCCCUCACAAAUCCACCUCCCUACCCAGGCCUGGACCUCGAUGUCUGUCAGCCACAGCCUCACUUACACCCCGACAAAAACAGCUGUGGGGGGGCUGCCCUAUUGGUGCCCCUUUAAUUCCCUUCAGGUCACUGACUGGACGGAGGGUGGCAGUGGAAACCUGCUCCCCACUUAGGCCCUGAGAGAGGAGAUGAGGGGACUGCUGAUCAGCCUUGUCCAUGGCUCCCUGUGUGACCAUCCAGCCCUCUAUCCCCUCCCCAAGCUUUAAGCCAGGGGGGCUUCUCCGCAGGCCUGUAACGGGAGGACAGGCCAUGGACAGGCGAUGGGGGGCUGGAAUUACAAAGGAGUUAGCACCAACAACAGGAAGCGGGUCCUUCCUUCCUCAGGCAGCCUCAGACUAGCCAGGGGAGGAGGUGAGGGGCCAGGCGAGGGGGGUGCAGACAGUGCAAGCCUUUGUCCUCAGGCAGGCGUGGUCAGUGGGCAUGCAGCCGAGGGGCAGGUGGUGGGCAGUGGAUGACAGACCCCUCUGCUUUGGCAAGAGGCAGAAUCCAGACACUUGAGGAAGAGAGCCUGCCUGCUGGGGGUCCACCUGGGCACUGGCGCCCAGGGC